rnacentral:rRNA from 1 species
AGGGAUGGCUAAAUACGUGCCAGCAGCCGCGGUAAUACGUAUGUCCCGAGCGUUAUCCGGAUUUAUUGGGCGUAAAGCGAGCGCAGACGGUUUAUUAAGUCUGAUGUGAAAUCCCGAGGCCCAACCUCGGAACUGCAUUGGAAACUGAUUUACUUGAGUGCGAUAGAGGCAAGUGGAACUCCAUGUGUAGCGGUGAAAUGCGUAGAUAUGUGGAAGAACACCAGUGGCGAAAGCGGCUUGCUAGAUCGUAACUGACGUUGAGGCUCGAAAGUAUGGGUAGCAAACGGGAUUAGAUACCCCGGUAGUCCAUACCGUAAACGAUGGGUGCUAGUUGUUAAGAGGUUUCCGCCUCCUAGUGACGUAGCAAACGCAUUAAGCACCCCGCCUGAGGAGUACGGCCGCAAGGCUAAAACUUAAAGGAAUUGACGGGGACCCGCACAAGCGGUGGAGCAUGUGGUUUAAUUCGAAGAUACGCGAAAAACCUUACCAGGUCUUGACAUACCAAUGAUCGCUUUUGUAAUGAAAGCUUUUCUUCGGAACAUUGGAUACAGGUGGUGCAUGGUCGUCGUCAGCUCGUGUCGUGAGAUGUUGGGUUAAGUCCCGCAACGAGCGCAACCCUUGUUAUUAGUUGCCAGCAUUUAGUUGGGCACUCUAAUGAGACUGCCGGUGAUAAACCGGAGGAAGGUGGGGACGACGUCAGAUCAUCAUGCCCCUUAUGACCUGGGCAACACACGUGCUACAAUGGGAAGUACAACGAGUCGCAAACCGGCGACGGCAAGCUAAUCUCUUAAAACUUCUCUCAGUUCGGACUGGAGUCUGCAACUCGACUCCACGAAGGCGGAAUCGCUAGUAAUCGCGAAUCAGCAUGUCGCGGUGAAUACGUUCCCGGGUCUUGUACACACCGCCCGUCAAAUCAUGGGAGUCGGAAGUACCCAAAGUCGCUUGGCUAACUUUUAGAGGCCGGUGCCUAAGGUAAAAUCGAUGACUGGGAUUAAGUCGUAACAAGGUAGCCGUAGGAGAACCUGCGGCUGGAUCACCUCCUUUCUAAGGA